rnacentral:misc_RNA from 1 species
GAAAUGCGAUAAUUAAUGUGAAUUGCAGAAUUCAGUGAAUCAUCGAGUCUUUGAACGCACAUUGCGCCCCCUGGCAUACCGGGGGGUAUGCCUGUCCGAGCGUCAUUGCUACCCUCAAGCACGGCUUGUGUGUUGGGCCGCCGUCCGCCCCGCCCCGCGGGGCGGACGCGCCCGAAAGGCAGCGCCGGCACCGCGUCCGGUCCGCGAGCGUAUGGGGCUUCGUCACCCGCUCCGUGGGUCUGGCCGGCGCUAGGCUUCGUCAACCACUUCUUUUCCUAGGUUGACCUCGGAUCAGGUAGGGAUGCCCGCUGAACUUAA